rnacentral:rRNA from 1 species
AUUGAACGCUGGCGGCAUGCCUUACACAUGCAAGUCGAACGGUAACAGGUCUUCGGAUGCUGACGAGUGGCGAACGGGUGAGUAAUACAUCGGAACGUGCCUAGUAGUGGGGGAUAACUACUCGAAAGAGUGGCUAAUACCGCAUGAGAUCUACGGAUGAAAGCAGGGGAUCGCAAGACCUUGUGCUACUAGAGCAGCCGAUGGCAGAUUAGGUAGUUGGUGGGAUAAAAGCUUACCAAGCCGACGAUCUGUAGCUGGUCUGAGAGGGCGAUCAGCCACACUGGGACUGAGACACGGCCCAGACUCCUACGGGAGGCAGCAGUGGGGAAUUUUGGACAAUGGGCGCAAGCCUGAUCCAGCAAUGCCGCGUGCAGGAUGAAGGCCUUCGGGUUGUAAACUGCUUUUGUACGGAACGAAAAGCCCUGGGUUAAUACCUGGGGCUCAUGACGGUACCGUAAGAAUAAGCACCGGCUAACUACGUGCCAGCCGCCGCAGUAACAC